CCGUAGCCCAAGAGAUCGGGAUAACACCUGGAAACAGAUGCUAAUACCGGAUAACAACAGAUGAUGCCUAUCGACUGUUUAAAAGAUGGUUCUGCUAUCACUCUUGGAUGGACCUGCGGUGCAUUAGCUAGUUGGUAGGGUAACGGCCUACCAAGGCGAUGAUGCAUAGCCGAGUUGAGAGACUGAUCGGCCACAUUGGGACUGAGACACGGCCCAAACUCCUACGGGAGGCAGCAGAA
rnacentral:rRNA from 1 species